UGAGCCUAGCUGUCAUCCCAAAGCCUGUAUUUUUCUUAAGUCUUAACUCUUGAAUCUUUACCAUGGGCCUAUUCAAUGUUUCAGAAAUUAUUUCCUUACAAUUGGAUAAGGGCGAGGACCAUAGUGUCAUUAAUAACAAAACAUAGGCCCGGUGCGGUGGCUCACGCCUGUAAUCCCACUACUUUGGGAGGCCGAGCCAGCUGGAUCACCUGAGGUCGGGAGUUUGAGACCAGCCUGGCC
rnacentral:lncRNA from 10 species